AUGCACGCUGGCGGCGUGCCUAUUCCUUGACAGCGAGGGGAAAAAAGGGGAGCUUGGCCCCCUGGUUUUAACCGCCGGCGGGGGAGGAAACCCUGGAAUAACCUACCUUUAAACUUGGGUAAACUCCGGGAAACGGGAGUAAAAACCGGAAAAAAUGUUAAACCGCUUGGUUCAAAAGUAAAAGCCGGUCUUGCGGUCACUUAUAGUUGAAUCCGCGCCGCAUUAGCUAGUUGGUAAGGUAACGGCUUACCAAGGCAACGAUGCGUAGCCGACCUGAGAGGGUGAUCGGCCACACUGGAACUGAGACACGGUCCAGACUCCUACGGGAGGCAGCAGUAGGGAAUCUUCCGCAAAGGGCGAAAGCCUGACGGAGCAACGCCGCGUGAGUGAAGAAGGUCUUCGGAUCGUAAAACUCUGUUAUUAGGGAAGAACAAAUGUGUAAGUAACUAUGCACGUCUUGACGGUACCUAAUCAGAAAGCCACGGCUAACUACGUG
rnacentral:rRNA from 1 species